GCAACAGAAUGACUGAAACAGGUGGCAACGACAGUGGCGGCAGCGAAGAAAAUGAUGAGAGUCGCUUGCAACGCGUCUGGUCCGGCAUGGCAAAAUCCACAAGAAGCGAACUUAUCCUAGCUGAUCAAGUGCCCCAGAAAGAGAAAGUUGUUGAAAUAUAAGUGUAAUGGAUGGGCCAGGCGGAAUCGCAGCUAACAUUCCAGGUUACGGAUCGCUAUGCUACUUGAAAAUUUAAAACUUGGAACAACCAUCUUACGAAAAUAAUUUUGUUAUCAUUUUUUGACUUAAUUAUGAUACUUAAGUGGAUAUUGUUUUGUAAAUUAAAAUAUGUACGAUUAUACACGCAUUAUGACACAAUAUUCAUUUAUUAUAUAGUCUGCAUGUCACUGUCAGAACAAACAUAUCUUGCAAUAAUUUUACGAAACUUGGGUUAAAUAAUCUACAUAAUAUAUGGAGAGGUCAAUAUUUUACAAAGUCUGAAAUGUAAAUGAAGAGUUGCUAUAAUUUUCUCUAAGGCAUGUAAUUCUGGAGCCUAAUUAAACAAAAAUUGAUUAAUAUAUUUCCGCUCCUUGUUUUUCUUAAAUUUUUCAAAGCUGUUUUGAUGAUUUACAGUGUGUGAGUGGGGGUGGGGAUAGAUUUGGAGAGGGAGGUAGUUUCUUGUACUGGUACACCUGUGCAACUCUCUCAGAAUUACUGCCAUUAUAUGCUACUCUGUCGUACUUGUCCGCGUAUUCUGUUUGUCUUUAUUGUACACUUAUUAAAUGGUUUACCGGUCAAUAGUAAAAGUCACUGCCCAAAGAUGGUCAAUAGUUUAUACUUUUUACCGGUAAGCUAUUCAGUAAGUGUUUUAUAACACGACACCAGAAAUAAAUUUCAAUUAGAUAUAGAGCAAAUUUGUUAUAGUUUUAUAAUUUCAAGUUUUCACCCUAGCCCAACAGAAAAUAUAGAGUUGAACUUAAGUUCUUUAUUCUAAAUUGUUUCAAUGAUAAAAAGCUUCCAAUAAUUCAAGUAUUGAAUGAAGUUGUGCCCUUAUAUCUUGGGAAUGUUGUACAGAAUGUAUAUAUAUAAGCAACGUUGUACCAUGAUGAGGCUUAAAGGCACUGACCUAAACAUCGUACGACAAAAAAAGAAACUAUUUAGAUAUCAGGAAAUCAUUGCUAUAUUUCUUCAGAAGGCUUUGGUACUUUGUUAAUGACAGAUGGUAUGUUAUGGAAACAAAUGAAAAUUGGUUGUUAUUAUUAUUAUUUCCAUUCAAAACUGAAAAGCGUCUGUAUCGGCUACCGGUGCUAAACAGCCUCUAUAUUUAGCGGUCGUAAAGUACAAAUACUACCAUGGUGUAUUGGUCAAGAAAUUGCCUUUCGAUUCCCGACUCGGACAUUUUUUUUCUUGAUUUCUCAUCUUUUAAUAGUCUGGAAACAAAAACUUAUGUUCGAAUGUUCAGAACAUAGAAAUAUUAUUUUAGGCCAAACUUCCUUUAAAUAAAUAAAUAAAUAAGAUAGAUUCUAUACUUCUUUGAUUUAUGCCUUAUGGAUUGUUUGACCGUUACAGUUUUGCAUCAGUUUUAAGAUCGGUCUUGUAUUGUAUAUGUAUCUAUACUAGAAGAUACAAGUUAAAAACAGAGAUAAAAAAUUUACCACAUUUUUACUUUCUUUGUCUAAAUAUGCAAUUUCUAUACAACAAAUUUAAAUUGAACUGUCAGUUCGUUCAUGUAUACAUAUAUAUAAUGUAACAUCAUAUAUUUGUAUGUAUAAAAUUAUUUUCCUUGUAAUUUCUUUGUAUUUCAAUAAUUUUUAUUUAUUUAUAAUUCAUUUUUUUCUUUAUUUCGUAUGUAACAAAAAACUGAAUAUGAUAAAAUCCAAUAUUUAGAUCCUUGUUAUUUCAAGUUAUGUUAAACCCAGAUUUCAUAUUUGAAAACUUGAUAUGAACACUCACUUUAUAUAACUUACUUAAUAUCUGACAGUUUUUUUUAUCUAGAUACUGUUACUAAAUGACACUUAGUUAAUAAAUUAUGAGUGUAGCUAUGAGACAGAAUUAAUAUAUAUAUAUAUAUUUUUAGUAAAGUUAAAUACAUUUGAUGUUUUAUAUGUUUUGUACGCUGUCCGCUAUUGUAUUUGUGUCAAAUGUAUGUCAUCAUGGGCUUCUUAGCCUAUUUAUUUGAAAUAAAAAUGUCUGUAUGUCUGUCUGUCUGUCUGUCUAUAAAAUUACAUUUUACAUUGUUAAUAAAUUAAGUGACCUAUAGUCCCACUGGGCUCGGUGCGUUUUUGUAUUUAUAUUUGUUGUAAAUGUACAUGUCGCUAUAAUCAACAAUGUCUUGCAUUUGAUGAGAAGUUUGACAUUUGAAGUAAAUAGCUAAAAGAUAAAACAUUGUGAUGAAAGAUGACCAUUGUGUUUCUUUAAAUAACAACAUACUUCUGGUGACUCCUAGGUCGGCAAUAGUUAGUAAUUGCUUUAGUAUAAGUAAAAAUAUCGACUUGUAUUGCCUUCGAUCAAUAUGGACCAACACCACAACAUAAACUGAAAUGUUACCAUAGGCGCAAUUUAUUUUUUGCCGUGAUUGAAUUCAAAAACCGCUAUUAGAUGCACUUUUAAUUUAUUUCGAUUACAAUACCGUUAUUUUUAUAACUGCUGAAUGCAUUUUUUAUUAUUAUCAUUAACAAUAAUAUAUUAUUAUUAUUAUUAUGUUUUACGUCGGUGCGACAGAAACAAAAAAAAAAUAAGGAUAUCUGUUUUUCUUUUUUGUUCUGACAUUAAUUAAAUGUAUUUGAAAAAAUAAAAUAAACAAACGAUUGUGUCAUUUGCAAUGCAUAUAUAAACACUAAUAAUAACUUUCCGGUGUAAAAAAAAAACACCACAUGGAAAUACUGAAAUAUAUGGUUUCAUGCCAGCGAAGGGAAAUUGCUGGAACCCUCAGCUAUAUCAAAAAAAAUGUCUAGAAAAUAAAAAUAAGCCAAAAUGUUCGUUUUGU